CUCCCCCUACAGUCUGCAGUGCCCAAAUAUUUGUAGCCACACAGGUCGUACACGUUGUUCGUUCAAAAUGGAAGGUCUAGUGUAUUUUCGUUAUGUUCGGUAAAUAAACAGUGCUUUCCCCAGACUAGGAGCCUGGGAAACAUAUGGCGUUCCUUCUGAAGGGACAGAUGCAGCAAGAAGUCCUCCUGACGAAAAUGUGCAAAGCAACCUGGUAGCAGACAAGAGAAACUCUGUUGUGUGCUGAAGCCAUGGCUUUGUGUUGGCACUUCCUGCGGCUGAUGUUCUGGGUGCCUGUGCUGUGGCUGAUAACGUCUGCUGUUGAUGGAGCCGUUGGAGUUGCUGAUGCAGAUGGUCUUGCUGCUGCUAAUUGCGGAAAAUUGUGCCUUAGCUGUCCUGUAUGGAAUUU